rnacentral:misc_RNA from 1 species
GGCUUUUAGAGCUUAGGAGGGGCUCGAUUAUUUUAAAUGGCUUAGGGGAUAGGGCUCAACAAAAUAUUACCACGUUCCCGUAUCUUAGACUAGACAAUUGAAACAGAAUUAAACUUAUGAAUGAAAUUGUUGCUUAGGUUACAAGAAAGAUUUUAAUGUCAAGUGAGUUUUACCAUCUUGACUGUACGGUUCCUCAAGUCCUAGAACAAUUGCUAAGUAUUUUGUGGCCUGUUAUAAUGAUUUUUCAAUUAAGUCUUUAAAGUUCUCUCUCUCUCUAAGUGAUUCAAACUUUAAAGCAUUCGAUAGUAGUCAUAAUCAAAUGUGACAGGCAUGUAAAUGUGGCGCACGUUGCAUAAUUUUGAUAUUUUGGACUAUUGUCUAGCAUUUUCAAAAUUGAAGGACUUGAUUGAGUGAAAAAUACUUCAUUGAGGUUUUGUUACAAGUUGGAUGACUCCUGGUUUGUUUUUAUCAUAUUACCAGGAAGUCCUUUUAAGAAUUUUGAGUUCCAUAAAAUCUUACAAUGAAUAUCAGUGGCCAUAUAUUUAAAUUUUAUUUGUAUUAUAGGAUGCAUGAUCAAAGACUACAUGGCAUGUUUUCCUUGUGCUUCUGAUGUUUGUUUUAUCUAAAAUUUAAUGCAUUGUAGGAUUUCUUUAACUUUAAGACGUUAGAUAUUUUCUUCUAUGGUUUUCAUUAUAUUCCUUAAGUAUUCGUACUUUCUUCUGUUGCGACAGUGGCAUACAAUUCGAUGAACUAU